rnacentral:rRNA from 2 species
UACGUAGGGUGCAAGCGUUAAUCGGAAUUACUGGGCGUAAAGCGUGCGCAGGCGGUUCGCUAAGACAGAUGUGAAAUCCCCGGGCUUAACCUGGGAACUGCAUUUGUGACUGGCGGGCUAGAGUAUGGCAGAGGGGGGUAGAAUUCCACGUGUAGCAGUGAAAUGCGUAGAGAUGUGGAGGAAUACCGAUGGCGAAGGCAGCCCCCUGGGCCAAUACUGACGCUCAUGCACGAAAGCGUGGGGAGCAAACAGG